rnacentral:rRNA from 1 species
AUUGAACGCUGGCGGCAGGCCUAACACAUGCAAGUCGAGCGGAUGAAGGGAGCUUGCUCCUGGAUUCAGCGGCGGACGGGUGAGUAAUGCCUAGGAAUCUGCCUGGUAGUGGGGGAUAACGUCCGGAAACGGGCGCUAAUACCGCAUACGUCCUGAGGGAGAAAGUGGGGGAUCUUCGGACCUCACGCUAUCAGAUGAGCCUAGGUCGGAUUAGCUAGUUGGUGGGGUAAAGGCCUACCAAGGCGACGAUCCGUAACUGGUCUGAGAGGAUGAUCAGUCACACUGGCACUGAGACACGGUCCAGACUCCUACGGGAGGCAGCAGUGGAGAAUAUGGGACAAGGGGCGAAAGCCUGAUCCAGCCAUGCCGCGUGUGAAGAAGGUCUUCGGAUUGUAAAGCACUUUAAGUUGGGAGGAAGGGCAGUAAGUUAAUACCUUGCUGUUUUGACGUUACCAACAGAAUAAGCACCGGCUAACUUCGUG